rnacentral:rRNA from 1 species
GAUGAACGCUGGCGGCGUGCUUAACACAUGCAAGUCGAACGGAAAGGCCGAAGCUUGCUUCGGUACUCGAGUGGCGAACGGGUGAGUAACACGUGGGUGAUCUGCCCUGUACUUCGGGAUAAGCUUGGGAAACUGGGUCUAAUACCGGAUAUGACGAUCUCUUGGAUGGGGUUGUGGAAAGCUUUUGCGGUAUGGGAUGAGCUCGCGGCCUAUCAGCUUGUUGGUGGGGUAAUGGCCUACCAAGGCGUCGACGGGUAGCCGGCCUGAGAGGGUGUACGGCCACAUUGGGACUGAGAUACGGCCCAGACUCCUACGGGAGGCAGCAGUGGUGAAUAUUGCACAAUGGGCGCAAGCCUGAUGCAGCGACGCCGCGUGGGGGAUGACGGCCUUCGGGUUGUAAACUCCUUUCGCAAUCGACGAAGCCUUUUGGUGACGGUAGGUUGAGAAGAAGCACCGGCUAACUACGUG